CACGUAGGGCGCAAGCGUUGUCCGGAAUCACUGGGCGUAAAGGGUGCGUAGGCGGGUCUUUAAGUCAGGGGUGAAAUCCUGGAGCUCAACUCCAGAACUGCCUUUGAUACUGAGGAUCUUGAGUUCGGGAGAGGUGAGUGGAACUGCGAGUGUAGAGGUGAAAUUCGUAGAUAUUCGCAAGAACACCAGUGGCGAAGGCGGCUCACUGGCCCGAUACUGACGCUGAGGCACGAAAGCGUGGGGAGCAAACAGG
rnacentral:rRNA from 1 species